GCCCUAGACCAUCGGUUUCCCUGGGCCUUCCUACCUCCAAGGUUAGAGCAGGCGUCCUGACCACACCCCGAAAUUUACUAGCUAGGGAGGCCAGAGGCCACAGGGGAAGGGCAAUAUUGGGGGCUGAACCCGGUAUCUGAAACAUUUUAGGCGUGAACGGCACACCCCAGCUCUCAUUAUUUUAAGAGACUGUGUGAACCAGGCUGAUCUUUAACUGACUCUACAACCCGAGGUGAUCUUGAAAAUGGGCUCCUCCUGCCUCAGCCUUCUGAGUAGCUGGGAUUACAGACAGGGCCUCAGAGGCUACUUUGCUGCUUGGCCUCCUGUGUAGGCCUAACCCUGCCAGGGGCACUGGCUAGCUAAUCCCCCACGCUGACCCUGUGCUCUUGAUGAAGGCGGUGAGGGCUGGAGGGUCUCAGACUGGGCAGUGUGCUCAGAAGACAGUGUUGUGCUUGUCUCCUGCUCCCAUGUUUUGGGACCAGAGGGGCUGGCCACCUCACUGAGACUAAACUUGGUGGCAAAGGGUGGGGUUCGGAGUCCGAAUUCCUGGAACUCAUUUCCUCUAUGGUCCUGUUUAUUCCGAGGGCAAAAGGGCAUCCUAAGCUGCCUUCUGAGCUGGGCGACACAGCCAGAGCUGUGUAUGUGCGCGCAGGUCUCUGAGUGAGACGACAUAGGACCGCUAGCCCCUGGGGACUGUCUUACUACACCUCAGUCCACCGUGUGCAGCUCGACGGCCAACACACACCAGGUGCAGCGCGUGGUACUUGCAUGAACUGUGAACAUAAAAUGCCAAAUACGGUCCAAUGUCCCUCUCCUCCCGGUGUCCGCUGCGUGGCUUGCCCUAAGGCCCGAACUGUUAACUGGGGACAGAGUGUCCGGGAGAGCCACCACAGAGAAUGCGCCAUUGUUAUAUUUCGGAGCAAACAGGACCAGAGAUGCUGAGCGCUCGGUUGAAGCCAAUGAGUUAAUUAGAGACAGUGCCCACAAGGGGGAGGGAAGACGCGCGGAAACCCGAGCGCUGAGGCUCCGGGCUGCAGCGAACAACGAAUGAAACCCGCCGGCGCCAAGUGCUUCCACGCCUCACUGCGUGAACUGAAAUAUUGGAAGCUGCGCCAAAGAGAAGCAGAGGCCUGACUUUCACAUCCACCGUCUCAUCUGACCCGGCCUCCACCCUAAGUUUCUAGGGAAGAAGAGAGUCCACCUCCCCAAACUGCUCCUUACAGAGCAGGUGGCAUUUUAGGAAUGUUAUUCGGCGCACGCACCUGUCAUAGGUUAGUUAACCUCCCAGCAGGCUUUGGGGCAGCACCCUGUAAUCAAGCCUAUUUGCAUUUUGCAUGAAAACGUGAAUAUUUACAAUAAGUAAGGUGGAGGGACAACCAAU